GUGUCAGCAGCCGCGGUAAGACGAAGGGGGCUAGCGUUGUUCGGAAUUACUGGGCGUAAAGCGCGCGUAGGCGGUCUUUCAAGUCAGGAGUGAAAGCCCCGGGCUCAACCCGGGAAUAGCUCUUGAUACUGUUGGACUUGAGUCCGGGAGAGGAUAGUGGAAUUCCCAGUGUAGAGGUGAAAUUCGUAGAUAUUGGGAAGAACACCAGUGGCGAAGGCGGCUAUCUGGACCGGUACUGACGCUGAGGCGCGAAAGCGUGGGGAGCAAACAGGAUUAGAUACCCUGGUAGUCCACGCCGUAAACUAUGAGUGCUAGACGUUGGAGAGCUUGCUCUUCAGUGUCGUAGCUAACGCGAUAAGCACUCCGCCUGGGGAGUACGGCCGCAAGGUUAAA
rnacentral:rRNA from 1 species